AUGAUUGACCAAUAUAAACAUCAACAACUUCAAAUUGGACUCGUUUCCCCUCAACAAAUAAAGGCUUGGGCUAACAAAAACCUACCUAAUGGAGAAGUCGUUGGCGAAGUCACAAGGCCCUCUACUUUUCAUUAUAAAACCGAUAAACCAGAAAAAGAUGGAUUGUUUUGCGAAAGAAUCUUUGGACCCAUAAAAAGCGGGAUUUGCGCUUGUGGCAAUUCUCGAGCGAGCGGAGCUGAAAACGAAGAUGAAAGAUUUUGCCAAAAAUGCGGGGUAGAAUAUGUGGAUUCUCGGAUACGAAGAUAUCAAAUGGGAUACAUCAAACUCGCAUGUCCCGUGACUCAUGUGUGGUAUUUGAAAGGUCUUCCUAGUUAUAUCGCGAAUCUUUUAGAUAAACCUCUUAAGAAGUUGGAGGGCCUAGUAUACGGCGAUUUCUCUUUUGCUAGGCCCAGCACUAAAAAAACCCACUUUUUUACGAUUACGAGGUUUAUUCGAAGAGGAAAUUGCAUCCUGUAA
rnacentral:rRNA from 1 species